rnacentral:rRNA from 1 species
UACAGAGGUCCCAAGCGUUGUUCGGAUUCACUGGGCGUAAAGGGUGCGUAGGUGGCCAGGUAAGUUCGGUGUGAAAGCUCGGAGCUUAACUUCGAAAUGGCAUUGAAUACUAUCUGGCUAGAGGGUCGGAGGGGAGACUGGAAUUCUCGGUGUAGCAGUGAAAUGCGUAGAUAUCGAGAGGAACACCAGUGGCGAAGGCGAGUCUCUGGACGACUCCUGACACUGAGGCACGAAAGCCAGGGGAGCAAAC